UCAAAAGAAGCUCGAAAUUGACGAUGACCUGAAACUGUAUGUAUAAUCUUCUUUCGUUUUUAGUUAAUAAUUUUUUUUUUUGAAAUUGAUUCAUCUGCUGUUUGAUUAUUCGUGAAAUAGUGUUCGAUCGUUCUGGGUAAUUCAUUUCUAUCUGCUAUGGUUGAAUAUUUACUUUACAUGUCGAUUAUCGUUUGUAAUGGAUUAAUGCAGUGUAAAAAUCGAACUGUGCUGGUCUAUUUGAUGAUGUUUUUUUUUUUUUCUUACACUUGAAUUUUGUAAAAUUGGAUUAUUUCUAUGUUAAUUGAUUUCACCUCAAUUCAUUCAUAGCAUUUGAAUAUGUAAGACAUAUGUUCGUCUACUAAAUUAUAUUCUUGCUUCCAAAAGGAUCGAUCAUUCAUCUACUCUGUUGUUCGAUAUUUUAGAAACCGAAAACCAGAAGCCCGAAGAACCCGAAAACCCGAGUCUUUUAAUUACCAUUAAUCAGUCUAUUGCAUCUAAUAUACCUAGAUAAUGAGAACAUAACAUUUCUUAUGAUAUAUUCGUUGCUUCUUUCAAUUUCAGUCGGGUGUUCUGGGACAAGAGGAUCUCCCAGGAAGUCAACGGAGAUGCAUUGGGUGAGGUAUGCUCGUCUCCCAGAAAGUCAAUUAUUUAAUAUUCUCAACUAUUAUACUUGAAAUAACAUAAUUUCAAUUAAUUAAUUAUUUCAGGAAUUCAAGGGCUACGUUUUCAAGAUUAUGGGAGGGUGCGACAAGCAAGGCUUCCCCAUGAAGCAGGGUGUCUUGACACCUGGCCGUGUCAGGCUCUUGCUCCACCGAGGUUCCUAUAAUUUCAACCCUUUUAUUUUAGUUUCCGAUUUUAUUUUUCACUUUUGACAACUCCAUGUGUUUUAAAAUAAAAAAAUAGGUACCCCGUGUUUCCGAGGGUACGGAAGGAGAAACGGAGAGCGAAGGAGGAAGUCCGUUCGAGGGUGCAUCGUAAGCCCUGACCUCUCUGUUUUGAAUUUGGUGAUUGUGAAAAAGGGUGACAACGAUCUCCCAGGUUUGACCGAUGUCGAGAAACCUAGGAUGCGUGGUCCCAAGAGGGCUUCGAAGAUUCGCAAGCUCUUCAACCUCUCCAAGGAUGAUGAUGUCAGGAAAUACGUCAACACUUACCGCCGUACAUUCACCAACAAG
rnacentral:lncRNA from 1 species